rnacentral:rRNA from 1 species
AAGUUAAACGGCCGCGGUACCCUAACCGUGCGAAGGUAGCGCAAUCACUUGUUCUUUAAAUGAGGACUAGUAUGAACGGCAUCACGAGGGUUACACUGUCUCCCUUUUCUAAUCAGUGAAACUGACCCCCCCGUGAAGAGGCGGGGAUAAAACUAUAAGACGAGAAGACCCCAUGGAGCUUUAAACUCAGUCUCAAUUGCCCCUCCAUACGCCAUUUAAACUGGGCAAAUAUGAUUUCUAGUUUUCGGUUGGGGUGACCGCGGAGCAAAACAAAACCUCCACGAUGAAAGAGCCAACCCUCUAAUCAAAGAGUAACAACUCAAAGAAUCAAUAAAUUGACAUAAUUUGAUCCAAUUACUUUGAUCAACGAACCAAGUUACCCUGGGGAUAACAGCGCAAUCCACUUCAAGAGCCCCUAUCGACAAGUGGGUUUACGACCUCGAUGUUGGAUCAGGGUAUCCCAGUGGUGCAGCCGCUACUAAAGGUUCGUUUGUUCAACGAUUAA